rnacentral:rRNA from 1 species
UACAGAGGGGGCAAGCGUUAUUCGGAAUUAUUGGGCGUAAAGGGCGCGUAGGCGGCCUGGCAAGUGGAAGGUGAAAUCCCUCGGCUUAACCGAGGAACUGCCCUCCAAACUGCUUGGCUUGAGUCCGGGAGAGGUGAGUGGAAUUCCCAGUGUAGCGGUGAAAUGCGUAGAUAUUGGGAGGAACACCAGUGGCGAAGGCGCCUAUCUGGCCCGAUACUGACGCUGAGGCGCGAAAGCUAGGGGAGCAAACGGG